rnacentral:rRNA from 1 species
CCAUAGCGUCUAUUAAAGUUGUUGCAGUUAAAAAGCUCGUAGUUGGAUUUCUGGUGGGAGCGAUCGGUCUGGCGCUUAGCGCGAGUACUUGCAUCGUCUCCGGCCAUCCUUGGGGAGAGUCUGUCUGGCAUUAGGUUGUCGGGCAGAGGAUCCUCAUCGUUUACUGUGAAAAAAUUAGAGUGUUCAAAGCAGGCUUAUGCCGUUGAAUAUAUUAGCAUGGAAUAAUAAGAUAGGACUUUGGUACUAUUUUGUUGGUUUGCGCACCAAAGUAAUGAUUAAUAGGGACAGUUGGGGGUAUUCGUAUUCCGUUGUCAGAGGUGAAAUUCUUGGAUUUACGGAAGACGAACUACUGCGAAAGCAUUUACCAAGGAUGUUUUCAUUAA